GUGUGAGAGGAUCAGAGACUGUGCUUAUACUGUGUGAGAGGAUCAGAGACUGUGCUUAUACUGUGUGAGAGGAAUAGAGACUGUGUGAGAGGAUCAGAGACUGUGCUUAUACUGUGUGAGAUGAUCAGAGACAGUGCUUAUACUGUGUGAGAGGAAUAGAGACUGUGCUUAUACUGUGUGAGAGGAUCAGAGACUGUGCUUAUACUGUGUGAGAGGAUCAGAGACUGUGCUUA